UACGGAGGGAGCUAGCGUUGUUCGGAAUUACUGGGCGUAAAGCGCACGUAGGCGGCUUUGUAAGUUAGAGGUGAAAGCCCGGGGCUCAACUCCGGAAUUGCCUUUAAGACUGCAUCGCUAGAAUUGUGGAGAGGUAAGUGGAAUUCCGAGUGUAGAGGUGAAAUUCGUAGAUAUUCGGAAGAACACCAGUGGCGAAGGCGACUUACUGGACACAUAUUGACGCUGAGGUGCGAAAGCGUGGGGAGCAAAGCAGG
rnacentral:rRNA from 1 species